ensembl:lncRNA
CCAGAAUACUGCUGAUAUUUCCUGCCCGUCGCACUGACACCUUUACAGCUGAAGACUGAGUGUGUUCUGGAGGUCAGAAGACACCAAAUCCCGGGCUGAGGAGAUGACAGGUACCCCAAAACCUGAAGAGAUGCAGAACUGCCAGCAGAAGUAAACUUGGUAACGUGUGCCGUAGGAGCCAAAGAGGGAGGACAGGAAUGAAGGCUUUCCCCUGAAUGGGAAGAUAAGUGCUCACUGUUGGAGGUGGGCAAAGCAUGGUCAAAAAUGGCUGGGGGGAACGUCACAAGUGUCUUUAACAGGUCUCAAGGGAUGGAGAAAAAGAUGUAGAUAGCAGAACAACCCUAUCCCUGCACCCCAGCACAUAACAGCGUGGAAUGGUGGAAGAGUGCCCAGGCAGCCUCUGAAUGAACAGUAAUGCCUUGAAUAACAACACAUCAAAGCUAUCAGAAGGAAAAAAAAAGGAGGCUGUGCUUAGCUGCCCUAUGGCCAGAAACUGCUGCUGGAAGGAAAGAUGCAGUACUUCAAAAGCAUGUGGACAAUCCCUUUGUAUAAAAUGGCCAGCAC